rnacentral:lncRNA from 1 species
AGCCAAGUCGCUAGUAGAACUUCAUGCACAAAAUCGCCUAUCCAUUUUGCUCUCAGAACAAUGAGAAUUAUGACCCUCUUUCUAUAAUAACCGGGUGAAGGGUUUAUAUAUAAAUGAAGAAAACAAGUCUGGGUAACGGGUCACGGGUUAUUUAGUAAUGAAUGAUUGGAUGGGGUUAAUAAUUUUCACCGUGUCAUUUUUAAAUAAAGUUUGAUUGAAAGAAAAAUGUAAUCACAU